rnacentral:lncRNA from 1 species
NNUGGAUUCCUGCUUUUCCAUGUCCUAUCCUGGCAAUCCUUUGGUUGUGUUGGGUUUGUGGUGGAACCUCCUUGAGCGAGGCCUUCCCUGGAGAUCAGGGUUCCCAUGAAGGGCAAAAUUGGGGGAAAAUCAUCCCUUUCCCUGCUUUAUCAUCCUCUGGUUUUCCCAGAAUCUCUUCCUGGUUAUACAGUGCCAGCCUGAAGCCAGCUUGGGAUGGCUCCAAUUCCAGGUGCUGUCGUUUGGGAGGAGGGAAUUGGAUCCAGGAAUUCUGGUUUGGUUUUCCCAGUGGGGAGGAAGAUCCAGAGAUCCUUGAGGAUAAAAGGAGCUCUGCUCAGAAUUCCCAAAACCCUUUUCAGGAAACAGGAGCUGCCAGGGAAUGGAUCCAUAGGGAAAAACCCCAAAUCCAAAAUUCAGUGGUGUUUGGGUGCCUCCUUUGCCCCUCGUGGCUGGGAGGAUCCUUGGGAAGGUCGGAGCUGUGGGAUGGGAGGGAUUCCAUCCCUUCCCAAAUCCCCACCCAGCACAAACAGGGAUGGAAAGGGGGAGGAUGGAACCAGGUGCUGAAAAUCCAGGGAAAUGGAGAAAUGAAGGAAUUUGCUGCUCUCCUGUGCCCUCUGCGUUUUCCGUGGACACAGCCUGGAAUAAAUCAUCCCCGGGCCCAUCCCACCCCCUCAUUAGCUGAUAAAUCCAUGGAAACGAGCAUGCAAUUAAAGCUAAUUAAUCCUUUCCCCCUUUGGAAACCAAAUUGUUCCAUUUUAUCCAAUAAAGGCAAACUGGGGGGGUUCCAGUGCUGGAAUUCCCAGGCUCCCACAGCUCAGGGGUGGAACAGAGCCCUGCACGUUGGGGAUUAUCGGGGUGUUUUGGGGUGGAUCUGACAUUUUCCAUCUGCUCCAAUGUCCAGCCUGGCCUUGAGCACUUGCAGGGAUGGGGCAGCCCCAGAUUCCCGGGAUAAUCUGUGCCAGGGCCCUGCCACCCUCGCAGGGAGGGCUGGAGUGAGGACAGGGGUAUUCCUGUGGCUGAGGAAUCCCAAAUAGCCAGGCUCAAUCUCCCGGGUUUUGGUGUAAAACUGUCUUUUAAACUGCC